CCUUUUCAUCCAAAGUUUGUUACAUAAAGUAUCGAGAGCCUUCCAGUGUUGGUGUGGCACAACAUUUAACCAACACUGUUUUUAUUGACAGAGCUUUGAUUGUUGUGCCCUGCGCUGAAGAUGACUAGAGUGACCCAGGCUACACUACUACACUAGCCUGACUCAAGGCUUUGUUUUCCAAGCCACUAUACCCGCCGGGGCCCACGCUGCCUUCAAGGGGGGAAUGUGACCAGCUGAACCUUCCGAGAUGGACACCUUGUCUCUUUUUAUUUUCUUUUAUUUUCAUUUCCUUUUUUUUUUAUUUCUCUCACGUUGUCCCUUUUUUGCCUCUUAGAAGAGUUGCAUAUUCAUUGUAUUGUUUUUCUUUUUUUGUUUUCCUGUCCCCUUGUCCCUCGUCCCCAAUCCCACAGUUGCACCCCUUUGCCUGUCUUUGAAUGCUGUCCAGGUUGACUUGCCGCACAGUAUUGGAGGGAAGUUUGAACGG